rnacentral:rRNA from 1 species
GACGAACGCUGGCGGCGUGCUUAACACAUGCAAGUCGAACGGAAAGGCCCUGCUUUUGUGGGGUGCUCGAGUGGCGAACGGGUGAGUAACACGUGAGUAACCUGCCCUUGACUUUGGGAUAACUUCAGGAAACUGGGGCUAAUACCGGAUAGGAGCUCCUGCUGCAUGGUGGGGGUUGGAAAGUUUCGGCGGUUGGGGAUGGACUCGCGGCUUAUCAGCUUGUUGGUGGGGUAGUGGCUUACCAAGGCUUUGACGGGUAGCCGGCCUGAGAGGGUGACCGGCCACAUUGGGACUGAGAUACGGCCCAGACUCCUACGGGAGGCAGCAGUGAGGAAUAUUGCACAAUGGGCGGAAGCCUGAUGCAGCAACGCCGCGUGCGGGAUGACGGCCUUCGGGUUGUAAACCACUUUCGCCUGUGACGAAGCGUGAGUGACGGUAAUGGGUAAAGAAGCACCGGCUAACUACGUG